rnacentral:rRNA from 1 species
AGAGGGGGCAAGCGUUGUUCGGAAUUACUGGGCGUAAAGGGCGCGUAGGCGGCCUUCUAAGUCGAACGUGAAAUCCCCGGGCUCAACCCGGGAACUGCGUCCGAUACUGGAAGGCUUGAAUCCGGGAGAGGGAUGCGGAAUUCCAGGUGUAGCGGUGAAAUGCGUAGAUAUCUGGAGGAACACCGGUGGCGAAGGCGGCAUCCCGGACCGGUAUUGACGCUGAGGCGCGAAAGCCAGGGGAGCAAACGGGAUUAGAUACCCCGGUAGUCCUGGCCCUAAACGAUGAAUGCUUGGUGUGGCGGGUAUCGAUCCCUGCCGUGCCGAAGCUAACGCAUUAAGCAUUCCGCCUGGGGAGUACGGUCGCAAGGCUG